AUUGAACGCUGGCGGCAUGCUUUACACAUGCCAGUCGAACGGUAACAGGCCUUCGGGUGCUGACGAGUGGCGAACGGGUGAGUAAUGCAUCGGAACGUACCCAGAGGUGGGGGUUAACGCAGCGAAAGCUGUGCUAAUACCGCAUGUGAUCUGAGGAUGAAAGCGGGGGACCGAGCAGCAAUGUUUGGCCUCGCGCCUUUGGAGCGGCCGAUGUCGGAUUAGCUAGUUGGGGGGGUAAAGGCCUACCAAGGCGACGAUCCGUAGCUGGUCUGAGAGGACGACCAGCCACACUGGGAGUGAGACACGGCCCAGACUCCUACGGGAGGCAGCAGUGGGGAAUUUUGGACAAUGGGCGCAAGCCUGAUCCAGCAAUGCCGCGUGCGGGAAGAAGGCCUUCGGGUUGUAAACCGCUUUUGGCAGGAACGAAACGGUGUCCGCUAAUACCGGGCGCUAAUGACGGUACCUGCAGAAUAAGCACCGGCUAACUACGUG
rnacentral:rRNA from 1 species